GUCAAGAGUCAGAUGCUUAACCGACUCAUGAACUGAGCCACCCAGGUAAGAUCUGUUAACCUUAUCCACAUUCCCCGAUACACUGAAAAGCCGAGAAGCGGGUGCUCGUAUGGUUUCCUGACUACUAGCUGGGAGCUUAACGUACCACACUUCCACUCAAUUCAAUUCAAUAAAUAGUUAUUGGACUCCUGUUAUGUGCAAAAUAUUAUGCUGGUCUUACAGAAAAUGCUGGAUGACUAAGAGUUCCUGCCCUUGGAGAGGAAGCUGUAGGACAAAUUUACAGAGAACUAUAGGAGAAGGCAACAUCCAGUUAGUGACCUAGGAAGGAUAGGCCAUACAGUGGAGUGGGUGAGCACCAGGGCUCUCAAGGUCGGGUUCAUCUCUCCUACACUCUGGAUGUGACCUAGGACAAGUCACUUAACUGAUCUGUGCCUGAUUCCUCAUCUGUCAGAUGAACAGUAGCCCCUGCUUCAUAGGAGAGGUAGUAAGAUCAGGGAGUUUACUUAAGCUAAGAAGAAGUUAAAAUUAGCUGUCAACUGCUGUCCCACAGUGAGCUAACACAGCCUCGAGGCCUGACUGACCACAGUCAUCUCUGGGGGUGUACGUUUGUCUGAGAAACACAUCACAGAGGUAACAGUGAUUCUCCCUCCGCAGUCAUCAUUCAGUUCUUUGUACACAUGUCUCAAGAGGAAAAUCCCUAUCAAGGGCUGUGUAGGGGCUUACAUUUACUUUGGAAUUAUUCCAUUUAUUUUUACUUUUAUGGACCAUUCAAAUUGUAAUCAUCGGUCAGUCAGCUACAUGACUCGGUAACCAAUGAAAUUUGACAAUCUUAGUGGCCUUCCAUUAGAAAGAAUUGCAUAACAGUCCAUGAAAUUACAAUUUUGAAUUGAAUUCUUGAAACAGGCCUAGAAGCCACAGAAUCAAAGCAAAUGGCAAGUGUGAGUUUAGAAGAGGCAGACCUGUGAAGCCAUGUUCCCAAGGUCUGGAAGCAAGGAUUUUACAGCGAAUUCACAGGCUUGACAAGGCUUCAGGACAGGGAACUGAAGCAGCCCCCAUUUCCAGCUUUGAUCUGUGUUCUGUUCAAACAAAACACCUUGCUUCCUGAAUGCUGCUUUGGCUUAAUUUCAGCAGAGUAGCAAUUCUUAAUCCAAAACAAUCAAGAAGAAUUUCUACAGUGGUCAAACAGCAUUUUUCUGAGUGCUUGGAAAUCAUGAACGUCCACUGUUGAAAAAUAUUCUCUAGCAAACAAGGCAGAGAACAUGAAUCAAAGUGCCAGACAAUGCCAGGGUCAGCCUCAGUGGCCCUGAAACCAACUAAGACUCCAGUGAAGUACGUGUCUUGAUUCCCUCAGCUGUGAAAUAGGUACAUCAUGCAGCUUCACGCAAAAAUUGAAAAUUGUGCUCUAAUGGGUAUGUGUAUGUACGUGUGUGUAUGUACACGAUUCAUCCACAUGCCAUGCCAGUCUCGCCCGAAUGAAGCAAAUAAAACUUUGGUUAAUUCUCA